AUCGAAGUCGGUUAAUGGCAAACCAACGGUCUCCAAAACCGUGACUGGUGGUUCGAUUCCAUCCUUCGGUG
rnacentral:tRNA from 1 species